CUACAUUGACAUCAUUAUUGCUGUAUCCUGCGCACUAACAGACCUCAUCCAGUCCAAGAACACUCGAUUUGGUCAACAAAACUCGAGCUCCAGUAAAAUGAUUUCAUCGUGUCUGAAAGGGAAUCCUGAUGGGAAGUGAAUGAGCUCCAAUGGGAAAUUAUAUAUUUAUAAGCAGCAGCAGCAGCAGCAGCAGCAGCAAGUAGGAGAACCUGGUGAUUGCUCAUCCAGGAUUACGCACACUGGGAUGCGGACAAAUGAAUACACCGGACCGGUGCGUUUUACGCGCAUUAUCCCCUGGAACAUCCUCCCUGCUUCACUCUAGGUAAUGUUAUGAAAAAAGCUGCAAUUUUUGCCAAAAUAUGCCAAUUUACUGUUAACAUAGCCCCUUAUAAUGUAUGCAAUUAUCACGUUAACCUGAGUAAAUAUCUCCUAUUUGCCAAGCGAUCGUUUUCACCCUGUUGUAUUUAUUUUGUUUAACUUUGCUUGGGCGCAUAUGCAGGCUGCAAUACAUACAUUCAAUAUUUUUGCAACAUUCAUUUCAUAAGCUUCUUUUAAAAGCUUUUUUUUACAGGUCACAACUCUUUCUUUGUUAUGUGUGUGCAUGUGUCUGAGGGAGAAUGUGCGUAAGUGUGUGUGUCCGUUUAUGGAGGGCGGGGGGGUUGAUGCCACCAGACGGGAUGUAUUAAAUCACCGGGGCAGAGCGAACAUAAACUGACGGAGGAAGCCAAAGUGUGAGGGAUCGCUCCCCACUUUGUCCGCGGCUAAACCUUCACUUUAUCCGGCGCUGUCAGACCGGCGCCUCCUCACAAGAUUGAAAUAUCCGAGCGGUGCAGCUCCUCCUCCGUGCAGUCCGCGGUUAAACGGAUUCCCUCUACUAUUUCGGAAUAAAUUGACCGCGCCAUUCCGAGGUAGAGAGGGACAGACGUCUGCUAGGUUGCUAUUUGUGCAAACCGCAUCCCGUUUUUACGGCUGAACGGGAGAGGAGCCGGUGAUGGAAAGGACUCUUCUUUCAGCCGCGGAGGACCGAGGAAGCAUCCCGAAGCGUCCUGUCAGCAUCUGCAGGGACAAGCCGCUCCCAGCAGCCGCCGAGCUCGCCAUCACCUCCGAAACGCAACACCGACUCCAAUAGUGCUGAGAAAGCGGCUGGAGGAAAGGGCACAUUGUGCUGUAAUGCUGUGUGUGUGUGUGUGUGUGUGUGUGUGCAGUCAGCCUUGUGUGUUGUACAUCUUUGUUUUGCCUCCUCCUUGUCAGGCAGCUGUAACAAACUCGAGGGUCCACUUCAAUCAGUUUCCUCCUACAGAUAUGCGCGUCCUCAUGCGUGUCCUCUGAGGUCAUUCCCCCGCACAACUGCCUGACUUCACACAGGGACAUUUCUGAAUUUAAUAGUCCACAAUCUGUAUAAUGAGUAUCCAUUCAAGUGAGUCUGUUUUCAUGCUGCGUCCUGCCAAAUGCGUGCAGUUGUCGUCGUCCUUUAACAUCUCGUUUGUGCAGCCUCGCUAAUCCCGAGUUUAGUUUUCAGCAGCUAGAGCUCCUGUCUCUCCUCCCGUGUCUCAGAGUGCAUCCCAGCAUAUUUACGUCCCCCACCUGUGCGCCUGUAUUUUUCAGAGUACAAGCAUUUUUCAAGGGCCCCCCCCCCCCGGCUCGGGAUGCAGUGUGGAUGAAUGAUCGGAUGCAGGAACACAGAGGAAGAGACCAAGGUCACACAGUAUCAAAUUCUUUGUGUGCUGCUUCGAAGUUGUAUUAAUGUUGCUUUUCGAGGGACUCAACACCGAGUCAUUCACAUUACUUCAAGGACUACAUUCUGCUUCAUUCGCCAUUAGCCACCGUGUGACAUAAAUUUGAUUUAAGGCUCCACUCGGACGCUGCACAUCUGAGAGAUUUGUUCCUUUCACUAUUUUCAACAAAAGAAGACGCUUUGUUUGUGCGUCUCUGGACAAGGCACAGUGAGUACACGCACCGCCUGCUGUGUGGAGGCAGAGCUUGCUGGUACCUACUUCUUUGCAGCAGCAGCAGCAUGCAUAAUCAGGCUGAGGAGAACAAAGGUGUUGGUUCUACAAACAGUGUUUGUUCAGAUUAGGCCGAGACCAGCAUCCAGAACCAAAGGGAACACUGGUUCUUUCACAAGACGCCGAAGGGAAGGGACCCAGCGGAGGGGGCAGACAAGGUCUCUGUAAAAGGUUGUGCAUCCCGGGAGAAUAACAAGGAGAGGAAUAGUGAAGCCUUCCAUUAUGUGCUUUCCAUAAUAUAAUGAUAGAGAGCUGGUGCUCCUGGAAGUGCCCUGAAAGGCAUUGAAACGCUGUUUGUGAGUUCACGACUGUCGUGACAAGACUUAAAAGAAUCUUUGCGCAUGGAUGAGUUUGGCCGCUUCAUUUUACGGAUAGCGAGCAGUCACCUUGUCAUUGUUAAGUGUUGCCUGGCGGUUGUCUGAAUUCAAAAUGGAGAGUGAAGGGUGCACUCUUGUCUAGAGAAAUAACGCCUCUUCUUUAUUUGUCAGCUCCCUGCCGCCUUGCUUGAAGAGUAAAUGAAGCCUCUCACCUUAAGCGGCUGCCUGCUUUUAUUUUCUCCCUUACAUCCCAGACAACUGGGGGAUUGUUCCAAAGCCAAUCUGCAAGGUUCAAAGACCUCGAGAAUGCAGACGGCCUUUCAAUGUCUAGAUUCUCAUGCAAAUUUGUGUGUGCGGAGAUUUGUUGACUGGAAGAUGGACUCAGCGAUCUGCUUUGCCUCAUGCCAUAAUAAACAGCCUCAGUAAUUGGCAUCAGUAA